UACGUAGGGGGCAAGCGUUAUCCGGAUUUACUGGGUGUAAAGGGAGCGUAGGCGGCAGCGCAAGUCUGGAGUGAAAUGCCGGGGCCCAACCCCGGAACUGCUUUGGAAACUGUGCAGCUCGAGUGCAGGAGAGGUAAGCGGAAUUCCUAGUGUAGCGGUGAAAUGCGUAGAUAUUAGGAGGAACACCAGUGGCGAAGGCGGCUUACUGGACUGUAACUGACGUUGAGACUCGAAAGCGUGGGGAGCAAACAGG
rnacentral:rRNA from 1 species